rnacentral:lncRNA from 1 species
AGCAGACCACAGAACAUCAUAAAUUCAUCAUCCACCACAGUUCAGAGCUUGGGGAUUAGCUGCGUAAAAAGAAGAGGCAGUUAAUUUGGUCAGCGUGCACGUACCAACGGCACGGAGUUGAUGGCGCCGACGACGACGGUGGUGAGCCAGAGCGCGACGACGGCGCCGCCGCUGUAGAGGAGGAAGGUCGGCUUGUCCUCAAUCGCCUCCCACUGCCACACACACAGGAGAAGAGAAACUGGUGACGAUAGGCACAUUGUGCAGGAACUGAUAUGCCCAUACGUUUACGCAGGCAGGUAGCUCGUACGAACCUUCCCCUUGAGGUCCUCGAUGAUCUCGUCGCCGCUCGCCGACGUGUCGUCGGAGGCGGCCUUCACGCGGAGCAGGGACGGCCUGGGCGCAUCUGCAAGCUCGGCGAGGUCGUCAGAGCCAAAAGAAUUCUCCGAAAAAACUCGGCUGAUAGAUACUAGUACUAACAUGCAUGUGCACCUUGGAGGCGGAGCGGGUGGAGGUUGCGCCGCGGGAGGAAGGCGGAGGAGCGGGGGGCGGCGUUGCCGGUGGCGGCGGGGAGGCGCGCUCCGCCGAGGAGGGCCACGGAGUACGCCGUGGCAGCCAUUGAUCUGUCAGUGCCUUAUCGCUAGAGCUAUCGCUUCCUCGGCCUCUCGCUCUGUGUAUCACCAAACAACAAAAGCUGGAACGGUUGUUGUGUAGGAGGGGCUCUUGUGCGGCCGCGCUCGCCUGCGUCUUUGGUCCCUCGGGGCGGUGACGUGGCGGCGCGCUUGGCUGUGAUUGGCUGCCUCCCUAUCUUCACAUCCAUGGAUGGCCUCCCUGCCCUCCCAUACCAGGCAUUCCUUUGGUUGGUGCCUGAUGAGUGGGGACUGGGAAUUUGACGGUUGGGGACAAUGCAAAGGUCGAUCUGCAUUUUGCUAGUACCACUCAGCUUCUGCAUCUGUAUGUUUCGCUAUUGCAGCAAUUUUUAGUUUUUUUUUUCUUUUAUGAAAAAGACUUGGCCUCAUACGAAAGUCCAUCAAAAGUAUAAAACAG